AUUGAACGCUGGCGGCAUGCCUUACACAUGCAAGUCGAACGGUAACGGGCCUUCGGGUGCCGACGAGUGGCGAACGGGUGAGUAAUGUAUCGGAACGUACCCUUCAGUGGGGGAUAGCGUAGCGAAAGUUACGCUAAUACCGCAUAUUCUGUGAGCAGGAAAGCAGGGGAUCGCAAGACCUUGCGCUGAUUGAGCGGCCGAUAUCAGAUUAGCUAGUUGGUGAGGUAAAGGCUCACCAAGGCGACGAUCUGUAGCGGGUCUGAGAGGAUGAUCCGCCACACUGGAACUGAGACACGGUCCAGACUCCUACGGGAGGCAGCAGUGGGGAAUUUUGGACAAUGGGGGCAACCCUGAUCCAGCCAUGCCGCGUGAGUGAAGAAGGCCUUCGGGUUGUAAAGCUCUUUCGGCCGGGAAGAAAUCGUAUCAGCUAAUACCUGGUGCGGAUGACGGUACCGGCAUAAGAAGCACCGGCUAACUACGUGCCAGCCGCCGCCGUAAGAC
rnacentral:rRNA from 1 species